rfam:Equus caballus chromosome 12, whole genome shotgun sequence.
GUUUCCAAGGUGAUCCUUGGCCCAUGCAAGCUUCCCUGUACCCCAGCCCCAUCUUCCCCUGGUUGCCCCCGUACCCCACGCUUCCCUGGUUACCCCUCGGCUCCCCCGCC